CAGCAGCCGCGGUAAUACGUAGGUGGCAGGCGUUGUCCGGAAUUAUUGGGCGUAAAGGGCUCGCAGGCGGUUUCUUAAGUCUGAUGUGAAAGCCCCCGGCUCAACCGGGGAGGGUCAUUGGAAACUGGGAAACUUGAGUGCAGAAGAGGAGAGUGGAAUUCCACGUGUAGCGGUGAAAUGCGUAGAGAUGUGGAGGAACACCAGUGGCGAAGGCGACUCUCUGGUCUGUAACUGACGCUGAGGAGCGAAAGCGUGGGGAGCGAACAGGAUUAGAUACCCGGGUAGUCCCUGUCUCUUAUAC
rnacentral:rRNA from 1 species